GGCCAGACUCCUACGGGAGGCAGCAGUGGGGAAUAUUGCACAAUGGGGGAAACCCUGAUGCAGCGACGCCGCGUGAGUGAAGAAGUAUUUCGGUAUGUAAAGCUCUAUCAGCAGGGAAGAAAAUGACGGUACCUGACUAAGAAGCCCCGGCUAACUACGUGCCAGCAGCCGCGGUAAUACGUAGGGGGCAAGCGUUAUCCGGAUUUACUGGGUGUAAAGGGAGCGUAGACGGCAUGGCAAGUCAGAUGUGAAAGCCCGGGGCUCAACCCCGGGACUGCAUUUGAAACUGUCAGGCUGGAGUGCAGGAGAGGUAAGUGGAAUUCCUAGUGUAGCGGUGAAAUGCGUAGAUAUUAGGAGGAACACCAGUGGCGAAGGCGGCUUACUGGACUGUAACUGACGUUGAGGCUCGAAAGCGUGGGGAGCAAACAGGAUUAGAUACCCCGGUAC
rnacentral:rRNA from 1 species